CCCCACCAUGAAAGCUGAGAUGCUGAGAUCCGCUGCUCUCCUCGCCCCGUCGCAGCCCCGUUCCUGUUCAUUUAUCUCCGAUACCACUGCCUUCAAUCUCCCGCAGCCACGGCCACUACCGCCGAGAUCGGCCACGAAGGUCGUCUGCGACGCUCACCGGAGCAGCUCAUCGAUCCCGAAGCUGGAGCCCUUCAGCCGGAGCCGGCUCGACCGAAGGAUCAAAGAUCCGCCACUCUUGCAGAAAUAUGAGAACGAGCUCACAGACUAUUGUACAAAGCUCGAAGGUGAUGAUUCAUGUAGUUGUUGGGAUGCUUACUUUGAACUGAAAGAUCUUGAGGAAGAGAUGCCAAGAGAGGAUGUGGAGAAAUUUGUGAGGCAGGCUGGUGGGAUGAAAUCACUGAUAAGUUGUCUGCAUGGUAUUAGCGCUGUGGACAAGAAAAAGGAUAAACAAGUAAAGGAACAAAUAGUGUCGAACAUGGAAGCAGAGGUUGAAAGACUUUUUCCUGUACCCGAUGGAUUGCCCAAAAGCAAAGAAGAACUCGAUGAGGAAGAGGGAUAUAAAAUGCCUGAUUCUCCUUUCACAAGGCUGCUACGGACCAAAGGGGGCUUCCCUGCUUGGUUUUCUCAGGCCCCGGAUCAUGAGACCGAUUGAGGGUUUUUGGAGGCCUUAGUAUGUUUAGUUUGUCUAACUUGUGCUUAUGGAAGGUUUAGGUUUAGGGUUGUAUGGGUAUGUUAAUUUUGAUACAAC
rnacentral:misc_RNA from 1 species